GGAGUAAAAGUCGUAACAAGGUUUCCGUAGGUGAACCUGCGGAAGGAUCAUUAACGAGUUAGGGUCUUUUAGGCCCGACCUCCCAACCCUAUGUUUAUUGAACCUCUGUUGCUUCGGCGGACCCGUCUCACGGCCGCCGGAGGACCGCUGCGAGGCGUCCUCUGGCCAGCGUCCGCCGAUGGCCAACCCACUAAACUCUGAAUGAAUCGUGUCAUAUGUCUAAGUCUAUGAUAAAAUUAAAGCAAAACUUUCAACAACGGAUCUCUUGGUUCUG
rnacentral:misc_RNA from 1 species